ensembl:rRNA 5S_rRNA 5S ribosomal RNA
GCUUACGGCUAUACCACCCUGUCUGUGCCCGAUCUCGUCUGAUCUCAGAAGCUAAUCAGGGUCGGGCGUGGUUAGUACUUCGAUGGGUGACUGCUUAGGAAAACCAGAUGCUGUAAGCU